rnacentral:piRNA from 1 species
UCCCAAGUCAGCCACUUCAGGAACUCUGA